rnacentral:rRNA from 1 species
UACGAAGGGGGCUAGCGUUGCUCGGAAUCACUGGGCGUAAAGCGCACGUAGGCGGCUUGUUAAGUCAGGGGUGAAAUCCUGGAGCUCAACUCCAGAACUGCCUUUGAUACUGGCGAGCUUGAGUUCGGGAGAGGUGAGUGGAACUGCGAGUGUAGAGGUGAAAUUCGUAGAUAUUCGCAAGAACACCAGUGGCGAAGGCGGCAUCCUGGACUGGUCCUGACACUCAGGAGCGAAAGCGUGGGGAGCGAUCCGG